AUUGAACGCUGGCGGCAUGCCUUACACAUGCAAGUCGAACGGCAGCGCGGGGCAACCUGGCGGCGAGUGGCGAACGGGUGAGUAAUAUAUCGGAACAUACCCUAGAGUGGGGGAUAACGUAGCGAAAGUUACGCUAAUACCGCAUACGCACUAAGGUGGAAAGUGGGGGAUUCGCAAGAACCUCAUGCUCAUGGAGUGGCCGAUAUCUGAUUAGCUAGUUGGUGAGGUAAAGGCUCACCAAGGCAACGAUCAGUAGCUGGUUUGAGAGAACGACCAGCCACACUGGAACUGAGACACGGUCCAGACUCCUACGGGAGGCAGCAGUGGGGAAUUUUGGACAAUGGGGGCAACCCUGAUCCAGCAAUGCCGCGUGAGUGAAGAAGGCCUUCGGG
rnacentral:rRNA from 1 species